rnacentral:rRNA from 1 species
GUGAGGAAUAUUGGUCAAUGGGCGGGAGCCUGAAUCAGCCAAGUCGCGUGAAGGAAGAAGGAUCUAUGGUUCGUAAACUUCUUUUGCAGGGGAAUAAAGUGCAGGACGUGUCCUGUUUUGUAUGUACCCUGAGAAUAAGGAUCGGCUAACUCCGUGCCAGCAGCCGCGGUAAUACGGAGGAUCCGAGCGUUAUCCGGAUUUAUUGGGUUUAAAGGGUGCGUAGGUGGUUUGAUAAGUCAGCGGUGAAAGUUUGCAGCUUAACUGUAAAAAUGCCGUUGAAACUGUCGGACUUGAGUGUAAAUGAGGUAGGCGGAAUGCGUGGUGUAGCGGUGAAAUGCAUAGAUAUCACGCAGAACUCCGAUUGCGAAGGCAGCUUACUAAGCUACAACUGACACUGAAGCACGAAAGCGUGGGGAUCAAACAGGAUUAGAUACCCCGGUAGUCC